rnacentral:rRNA from 1 species
AUUGAACGCUGGCGGCAGGCCUAACACAUGCAAGUCGAGCGAGCGGCGGACGGGUGAGUAAUGCCUGGGAAACUGCCCGAUGGAGGGGGAUAACUACUGGAAACGGUAGCCAAUACCCCAUACUACUAGAUGUGCUCAGAUGGGCUUAGCUAGUAGGUGGGGUAAUGGCGCACCAAGGUGACGAUCCCUAGCUGGUCUGAGAGGAUGACCAGCCACACUGGAACUGAGACACGGUCCAGACUCCUACGGGAGGCAGCAGUGGGGAAUAUUGCACAAUGGGCGCAAGCCUGAUGCAGCCAUGCCGCGUGUGUGAAGAAUGCCUUCGGGUUGUAAAGCACUUUCAGCGGGGAGGCGUUACCCGCAGAAGAAGCACCGGCUAACUCCGUGCCAGCAGCCGCGGUAAUUC